AACGAACGCUGGCGGCACGUUUUAAGCAUGCAAGUCGAACGGCAGUGGGGGCAACCCCAUGAGAGUGGCGAACGGGUGAGUAACACGUAGGUGAUCUGCCUUUGGGUUGGGGAUAGCUUGUGGAAACACAGGGUAAUACCGAAUGAGCUGACGAGGCUUUGGCCAUGUUAGUAAAGGUGCUACGGCACCGCCUAGAGAGGAGCCUGCGGCUGAUUAGCUAGUUGGUGGGGUAAAGGCCUACCAAGGCGACGAUCAGUAGCCGGCCUGAGAGGGUGUACGGCCACACUGGAACUGAGACCCGGUCCAGACUCCUACGGGAGGCAGCAGCUAAGAAUCUUCCGCAAUGGGCGAAAGCCUGACGGAGCGAUGCCGCGUGAUCGAUGAAGGUCGAGAGGUUGUAAAGAUCUUUUCCAACUGAGGAAUAAGUGGACCAGGGAAUGGGUUCAUGAUGACGUUAAGUUGGGAAUAAGCCCGGCUAAUUACGUGCCAGCAGCCGCAGUAA
rnacentral:rRNA from 1 species